GGGCCGUUAGCUCAGUUGAUAGAGUAGCUGACUCGGUAGCUUGUCGUAGGUUCGAUCCCUACACAGCCCACAA
rnacentral:tRNA from 1 species